GGCUUGACAUGUCCGGAAAUUCUGCAGAGAUGCGGGAGUGCCCUUCGGGGAAAUCGGAAACA
rnacentral:rRNA from 1 species